rnacentral:rRNA from 1 species
UACGUAGGGUCCGAGCGUUGUCCGGAAUUAUUGGGCGUAAAGAGCUCGUAGGCGGUUUGUCGCGUCUGCUGUGAAAUCCCGAGGCUCAACCUCGGGCCUGCAGUGGGUACGGACAGACUGGAGUGCGGUAGGGGAGAAUGGAAUUCCUGGUGUAGCGGUGGAAUGCGCAGAUAUCAGGAGGAACACCGAUGGCGAAGGCAGUUCUCUGGGCCGUAACUGACGCUGAGGAGCGAAAGCGUGGGGAGCGAACAGG